AAUACAUCUUGGUUUAGCUCACUAGGAAGGAUCUGGGAGAAUUUUGGACAGAAGAUGCCAUAGGAAUGCCCAGCUUUCACCAGGGAGUACAAGUUACGUCCUCUGCAGCACUAGUUUAGGCCAAGCCUCAACUUGGACAGACUAGAAGCUACUAAGUGCUAACAGCUGCUUAUUUGGGGAUCUUGAUCCUGGUCACCCUCCGGCACUGAGGAGACUCAGGUUGACAGUGUGAGAUCCUGCCAAAUGUCCCUCACAGCUGCAGUUUGAGUAAAACCUGACAGGGAAACAACAAUCUGCAGGCAUCAAUUGCAGGGCACUUGGAGAAAGCCAAGUAAACUCCAGUGUGUCCUUUGAACUUGUUCUGCACUGACUGCAACAUGUCAGCUAAGUGUGUUAUAGCCUCACGCCUCAAAUAAGAAGUCUCUUUCCGUCUGGGAAAAGAGGGUGAAAAAUUGGAUUCAAUGGCUUCAAUGGAAUUCAUACUGCAAAGUGCUAGCUCAUCUGCAGAGAAAGCAAGAUUUCUGGAAGCCAUCUGCCAAACAUCACAGUGGAGUGUGGGAGGGAAAGAGCAAGUGAAAGUGAACUACAUGAAAUAUGGGGGGGGGGGAAGAGACUAAGAACUAUGGGGAUGUUGUGAAGUUGAACCAGUGUAGCCCGGCUUACUGCAGAGGAAGCAGGAUUUGUGGAAGCUCCUUCCAUUGCACUGGAUUUCCUCAGCGUGGUAGACGGUCUUUUCACAGGCACCACAUUUGGCUCCACCCCCCCAGUUCGGCAUCCCUGUCUCUGAGAGAAUGAAAUUAACAAUGUCUACGUGCCAGCUCUGCAGCCUGAAGGGAAUUCUUUCUGACAACUAACACCAAAAAUCCCACAAUGGUAUAAGAGUCUGUCCAGCAAAACGAAGGUGGCAUGAGAGUGUGUGCACACACUGAAGCUAUAGCACUGGAGACAUGACAAUGUGAGCAGGUUUUACAGUCAGUGUUUGAUAACAGUGCAGGUACCAGCACAUCCAAACCUCUCUGCCUUAGCAAAGCAAUGAUUAGUAUCUCUUUAACCCCCUGUAAUUAAAUAGUCACUAUUGUGACUGGUACCUGUGGUAGACAGCACACCUGUCAUCCUCAUGCAGGGUCCAAUCUCCCCUCCUCUUUGUGAGGCUGAUCUGUGCUUAGUUGAACACCCUCCCCAGCUCAGUCAGCCCAGUCCUUUGCUGUAACACAGCAGCACCAUCGUUAAUGUCUUCCAGACCCUCUCAGCUCUCUUGGGAGGCUGCUCAUGGACUGCUGUGGCAGUUCCAAAACAGCAAUGAUGCAAAAAGGAAAUGGAAACUCAUCUUUCCUCUAAUUCUGUUUAUCUGGUGUAAUGAGUAAGAAGCAUAAACCUAAUGUAGAUGAAAUAAGAAACAAAACUAAUUGCAUGCAAGAAACAUAUAGUGGAUUUGAUCCCUCUCACUCAGUGAAGCCUUUACUGAACAGAACUGCUAAAUUCUUUUUUCAUUUAUUUUAAAUGUGAGAUAAAGGCACAGAGAGAAAUCUUUCAUGUAAAUAGAAUCUUAUUCCACCAUUCUAUAUUUUCUUCUAUUUUUAAAGUACUUUCAUGUUGGUGCCAUUUUCUCUUAUGAAAAUAGUUCAAGUGAUGCUUCAAGCAUUUUAAAAGAAGGAAGAGAGACUGGGCAUAACAAUCAGUUUUGUGACACUUUCUUGAAAAAUAAAAUGAGAUUUUUGUGUUCCCUUUCAAAUCAGGUUUCCAGUGGAAUACCUUCCGAGCUGAGGCAGCACUGGUAGCUGCCAGGGAGGUUUGUACCUCUGGUCUCUGUAAAGCUAUUUGUGCUGUGUUAGUUCCCCUCAAAGGCACACCAAGCAUCUCUGUCUUUGGCAAUGAGAUAGUUGUUGGAAAGUAGCUCCAAUUACAUCAUUAGCUGAAGGGGGGAAAAUAAUCUCUUAAAAAGUCUGAUAAUGUUUGAUAGUGAACCUUGUGCUGUCAGGGGCCAUGGUUAGAGCUCUCAGAAGAACCAUUGUCCCUGAGGCUAAUUAUAGUAACAUGACUGGGCAUGCAUACACAUUUUCCAUGUUUUCUUGGCAUCACCUGAUGGGAAGCUGUAGGAGGAAGAAGAAAGUCACAGUAAAACUACAAGGAUGCCAGGGGAAGAACAGCCAUGUGUGCCACGAUGUCUGCGCUGGCUGGAGUAACAGCUCGGUGAGGUACCAGUGCAGGUCCUGUCCUUGCUUUGAUCAUCUCUCUGGACACUGAACUGCAGUGCCAUCCCUGUGGAUGGUGCCUGUGCAAAUAAAGUCCAGAAGGUACGUGGCAUUCAGUGUUUUCUACUUGUCUAAAUUAUAAAUGGUGGAUAAAUCUCCAUCUUCACAAUGUGCAGAUAGAACUCAGUCUCCCACUUGUUAUGAGAAAAAAUAUACCCAAAAUCUUCACUUCACAUAAUUUCAUUAGAUGUCAGUAUUUAAAUCCCCUUGAAAUUCCCUGAAUUUAGUUGUCUUAUUCUGAUUAACUUGCAGUGUCUGCUCACCACAUGGUGCUUAUAUUCUGGUGAUCUAGUGGGAAGUAGAGUGGACUCAUCCUAAAUGUAAUAAAUGUGUUUAUUUAUUAUUAAAUAAACUUUUGAGAGUUAGUACUGCAACACGUAGGCACUCACGGUACUGUUAAACUGGAGGAGUGUUCUUGAACUUGCUCUGUUACUAUUCAGCAGCUUGUAUUGUUCCUCAAAAUGCAGUUACUAUAUGGAGUAGAAUUUAUACACAAGAUGUGCAGCCAGGGAUACGUGUCUCCCGUUAUUUAGAGCUUAUAUCACAGCUAUAUGGGCCAGGCUUGGAGCAAGGGAGCCUUUGAAGUGUUUGUGUGCUCUGCACAGGCAUGAAAACAUUGUGAGCCGUCUUCUUUUGGGCUGUUAGUCAUACUGUACAAAUCUGGGUGUCACAUCACUGUCACAGAGUGUCUUACUCUAAUCAAAGUGCUAUUGAUAAGAAUAUAACCCAAAAAUAUAUUUAGAUCCACUGAUCUCAAUGGAUGGUGGACACAGUACUGGCCUGAUGCAGUUGUGUAGAGGAGUAAAACGCAGUGCAACUGCCAGACAGUGCUGCAGGUGAAAAAAGUCUUGAAAGUAGUUUUGGUGCUUCCAUUCUAAACACAAGGUUUUCCCUUUUACAUGCUCAUGUAUUUGACAGUCUGGAGCUCAGGCCUUAUCUGAAUGGGCUGCAGAAGUUGUGUACUGUGUGGCUGGGAGGAUUAUCUCUGGUGCCACAUAUGCUACAGGAUGGCUUUGAAGGGGAUAAACAGAAUGGGAAAUAUUGGUCUUUGUGAGCACUGGUAGUAGAAUUGCUGAAUGGGGACUGGUGGGUAGGAUGUGCCUUCCAUCUCUCUCCAUUUUAAUCCCAGCUACAUGCUUGGUCUAGACUCAAAGAAUACCACUGCCUUACCUAAUGAAUAAGCAGUAAUGGUAUCAAAUCCAAAUAUCCCUGUCUACACUGAAAUGCAAGUAUUAAGGCUGCAUUUGAAAUUCUUUUCCACACUAAAGUCGGUGGGAGAUGCCAAUGCAGCCAGGACUUCAUUCUGGUAUCUAAUCACAGCUCUGCUGUGACCUGUCCUGUGACCACCAGUGACUCAUUUGACGUCCUCAGUGUUACGCCCCCACAAGCACUGGGGGGGUAACGAUAUAUCUCAUCCUUUAUACAGUAGCAAUAAAAUGCUGCUCUAGUUUCUCUCUUUCACUGCAACUAACACUCAUGGGGAGAUUUUAUCUCUCUCUAUUGGUCUGCAGUGCAAGGCACAAUUCCUGCCACUGCAUCUCGAACAGCCUGAAGGUGUUUCUGUCAAAAUCCAAUCCCUUGCAGAAUGAGUUCUCUCUCAGCAGGACAGAUUCACAACAGAGGAAACAUUUGUGUUUGAAAGUUGAGCUCUUUUAAUGAAGAUGUGAUAUUGUUUAUACUCUUAUUUCUUCUGAUUCAUUCAGUGGACUUUGGAUACAGGUAAAUUUUAAGUUUAUUAUUUAGGUGUCAUACCUUGAGCUUCCACCAUGAUCUCGUAAUGAUUAGCAUUUUCCCUUCAUUUCUGCAGUAAAGCAACACAUAGAAAUCAAGGGGUGGGAAUUCUGACACUGACACAAGAAAGUAAAAAUUGAUUUUGCAUUGACACUGGUCACCCUAAAUUACACACUCCUUUUGAAACAAAAGAUUUUAACUGGCAUGAUAUGAGGCAUGUGUUGUGUGUAGCUGAUAGUUUCCCAUUGCUUUCAUCUCUGUUCUUCCAAAUUAUCUAUUAUUUUCUAGCAUAGGGAUGCCACAUUUCUUUUGAAACUUCCUUGAUGUACACUUUUGCAGAAAUUUAAGUUUGCAUCUCCAAAAAAAAUGGUAUCCUGACAAGGUACUUCAUUCAUCCUACAAGUAGGACAAGGUACUUCAUUCUGACUUAAAAACCAGUGACACCCCACACUCAAAUAUUUGUAAAUAUGUGCUUAGAGUUCAGUUUGAUCCAUGUGGCUGUGGAAAGCUGCAUCCUGCUGUACAAAUGUCCCAUUCCUUUUUUCAGACCUAAUCCUGGGCUAUCAGCUUUCACUUUUCGUUCCAUGAGAUCCUUCUCUAAAUCCUUUUCUGUGCACUAAGUCUUUUAAGUGCCAAGUAAAGCUAUUACCUACUUUGAAAUAGCACUGUGAUGAUUAAGACACAGAAUUAUUUUAUCCACAUACGAUCCCUAUUCUUUGAAAAGCUUUCUACCUAAGGGUAAAAUUAUUUCAAAGGAAAAACAUGUAUUUAUUUAUUUAUUUAUUUAUAUUAUUGGGGCUUUUCUGAAGACUUGACCAAUCACACUCUCUUGUAAUGCUUGAGUGAUGGAUGUGGAAAUAAUUCUUUCAUCCUGCAUCCAGUUAUCUAGCCAUUUUCUUCCAAGUCUGCAUAGAAGUUUUCUUCCUAUUUGAUAUAAAACCAAUUGGUCACUAACAUUAAAUAUUUUGAAGUUUUAGGGGAUGCUGUUUUGGUUUUUUUACUUCUAAUAUCCUAUCAACUGAGAAAUCAUGAAAGCACCCAAAUUUGUAUGCUUUGUACAUAUACUUUUUAAAACCAAAUCGUUUGUGGAAAAAAUAAUUCAGUAGCUUCGAAACACAAUUUUUAAGCAUUCUGAAACUUCUGUUAUCCAGCCUUUCAUAGUCAAAAUGAGUGUCUGUAACGAGGAUCCCCACAACUCUGUUCUUGCAACACCAGUAGCUACUCCCCAGGCUGAAAAGUCCAGAAGAAUCUCUUAUGAGGUGGCUACUCCAAACCUAAAAUACUGCUCUCAGCUCUGCAGGAAUCAUGUUUCUGUACUAUGCCUGCACAUUUUUCUUUGUUAAGCAACCACCUAUUAGGAAAAUAUUGCCCAAACCCUUGUAUCAGACAGUCUUGGCAGAACCCGCUGGACGCAACUUACCAGAGUUGCUUGAAGUGUCUCCCUCUUUCCUUAGGCCUCCAAGGGUUGGAACAGGAGGGGUCCCUGCACUUCUUAAAUGCAGUGACCACCACUGUCAGCCCUAUAAGCUGGGAGGGGAGGGGAAUGAGAGUUUCAGGGAUCUGAGCAAUGCCAUUGCUAUCACCAAGCUGAAAAUAACCUCUGACAAAAGCCUGGCAUUUUGGUCCCCCAUGUCCACUUGUGAGUAGGUGGACAACAAUGCAGCCCCUUGGAUUACACCUAAAGGACAUUCCUGACUGCAGCCUAACAGAUCAGAAAUAAAGAUUAAAGUUUUAUAGUUACUCUCCUGCAUUGCUUAAAUGUGAAUCAUGAAAUAACAGUCCUUUGAAAUGAGGAUUUAGUUAUUAAUGGUCACAGUGCCAAUAUUAAAUUGUUAAAAAUAAUAAUGAAUCAAAACCUGUUUGCAGCACCCCCUGGAACACAACAUUUGUGACCCAAAAAGCAUUUAAUUCUGCAGUUCAUGAUUUGAUAGAUACAACUAGUUUGCCUUCUAGGAUACAGGGCAUUAUGCUUUUCACUGUAAUCUUUCAUUUUUUUACUGUUUUUAGGCAUUAAGAUGGUUUGUUAAUAUGUAUAAUAUUUAGCCUGUCUGAUAACUGCAGUUAUAUUUGCCAUGCCUGACUGAGUCCCUUGGAAAUGGAUGAUGCUGCAGAUGUGUUAGAGAGGACCUGGGAUUGGAAGAACAGGCUUGAAACAUGCAACUGGAGCUGCACAUGCAUGAACUGGGUCAAGGAUGUAAAUCAAAGGUAGGGAUUAAGAAGCCCUGCUCAGAGAAGUGGAACUCAGUGAAUCAAAAGCAAAGCAAGUCUGAGGAGUAGAGGAACUUUCCAGGAGGACAUCAGGUGCUCAGGCCACGUUCAAAGGGGGGUGAGACAGGUGGGAAAAGGGGCCCUUUGAGCAGCUUUUCAGCUUGCAAAAUGAACAAUCAAAAGGAAAGGUCCCAGUGAAAAAGCAACUGUAGUCACAGGAGGCAGGGGACACUGGACAGCAUGUCAGAACGUAUGCUCGGCUUUUCAGGAUACAGCCAUUUGUGAGACCCUUUCACCAACCCUAAUUACUGUAGUUUCAUUAGUCUGUCAAAUGUGGUGUCUGAAAAUGAAAGGUUUGGAGUUUGUUUCCUAUAUAUUGCCUUUAUAUUUCUAGAAUGAAAUCAAUAGCAGGUGUAAGGAAGAUCAAUCAGUUAUCCCUUUGGAGAAGAAAAAUCUACUCUCUGCUGCAGUGAGAAUUCCUCCAUCUUUCAGCUUUUAUUCUUUUCUCCCCCUCAUUUAGUAUUUCCAUAGUGAUCGUAUUCUGUCAGGUGUAUUUUGUAUUAUAAUUCUGCAUUAUUAAAAAGCAGCCCAGAUAGUUUUACUGUGUUAGCUGUUUUAACUAUGUUUUUUUACCCCAGUCCAAGACUGAAUCUUAGGCUUUGCUACCAUUUCUCCUGUCCUAAUUUGGUCUGCCAGGCACCUUUCACCUGGAAAAGCAGAUACACUGUAUUUUGAUUUAAUCUGUUAGUUAUUCCUCGUUAUCUGAGGGUGAACUGAGCUAGGAGUCUUCAUCUUUCUUCCUUCAGUGUAGAAGAGGUGCUGUAUGUAUUUAAAUUUAAAUUAAUCAUUUAAAUGAAAUGGUCUAACUUAACUUGUUUGAAAUUUUUUUGUCAUUUCGACACACUUUCCAUAAAGAUACUCAGAAUCCCUUACUUCAUAACUAUGUUUUCCUCUAACUGUUGUUGUUAGGAGCUAUAAUAUCUUGUGACAAGAGUUCAGAAGUUACAUCAAGUUAUUUAAGUCCCUUUCUGAUGAAAUUCCAUUUUCCCCUUCCUUCAGAACACAGAGAUGCCCUUAUUUGGCAAAAAAAGAAUGAAGAUUUUUUGCCGGUGAAUACAAAAUGUAUUACUUAACUCAGGUGGCUCCACUUCCACAACAAAUAAGUGACUUAUCUUCCUUGCUAACCUCUCAGUUCUAUUGUACUUAGGCUGGCCUUCACUGCUAGCUCUUUUUGGGCACUGCUGAUUUCUAAAGAUCAAAAGAAAAUGUUUAUUUAAAAACUUUACCUGCCGUAAAGGAAUUGCUGUACUUCCCACUCAACCCACCAAGGCCAAGGUGCAACAUAUUUGUACUUACCCUCCCUUCUUGCACGUUCAUGUUUCCUGAGCUAUGGCUGGUGUUUUCUGCUUGGGAAGAGACCGGCACAUGCUGAAGAACAGGAUUUGCAGGAACUUGCACACCAGCAGGUAAUAGUCCUAUGUGUUGCAGCAUAAAGUUCAGAGCUGAAGAACUUGGAUUUUGGGCAGAACUGGCAUUGUUUGAAUUGAGACAGGAGUUGCUCAGUACAGGUGCAGCAGCUAUGGAAUUUGGUGACAGCAUAAUGUUCAAGGGUGUUAUAUGAAAAGCAGGAAUGUUAAGUGUUUUCAGCUCUGAGGCGGUCAUUGGAAUGACACCUGAAACAGAAACAUCAAGUGUUGAAGGGGAUCAAGAACUGAGGCUCAGGACAUUGUGCUGUGACUUCAUUAACUCAGUAGGAUGAAUCUGGCCUGCAAUUCCUUAAACCAGACAAGUCUAUGCCUGUUUUAUUAAACACUCACCAGUAAUGGGUGAACUGUAGGUAGGGUGCUGUAAGGAACACAUCCCAGCUUUCUCUUUAUUGGAGCAGUCUGCCUUUGUGCCAUGGGUGCAGUGAGUAAGAGGAAUAAGAUAACCAGAGGGAAAAAAAGUCUGACAAAGAAAAAGACGACACACCUUUAGCUCAAACAUGUAAUAAACAAACCCCAAAUAUGUUCUCCAAAGCUGCAUCACCCUUGCCCUGUUUUUAUUCUCUAUCCUCCACAUCCCCAGGAUCCUGUAUUCCAUGCUCCUGCUACCUUUUGUCUGAAACGAGACACAACUAACUCAAGGACAUGCUCUUAAAAGACCACAUACAAGUCAGCUGGCUCCAUUUCCAGCUGAUAUCCUCAGUGAUUAACUAAAAAUCCACCUGGGAUUAACACAAUACAAUUAGACAAGACGAAAGAGAAACCCUGACACUGAAUACUUUUUUCCAGAAAAAAUUACUGGACUCAUUAGUCAUCAUAUCACCUCAUUGUUUUAUGAAAAACACAAUCCAAGAUAUAUUAGAAGACAAACUAUUUGCAUUUACACGUUUUGGUCAACUGCUCUUUAUUCAGGUUCUCCUCAGCAGUUAAGCCUGAACUGCAGAAUACUGGAUUUUACUGAUAAGGAGAGAGUUUUGUGGGAUUCUGUUUCAAAGCCUAUGCAAACAAAGGACUGGGGAGGUGAGGGAUCUCAACAUUGCUCUCAGCCUCAGUCUUAGGGUGAUCUUCAUUCCAAUUGAAGCCUGAAAGCCACUUUAUGUCCUCUUAUUUGUGUGCUAAUGCAGAAACAGAAGUUCUACAUUCCUACAAAAUAAGGUUUUAAAGCAUUCUAAAAAGAAUCCAUCCAAAGACAAUCUAUGUAGGUGUAGUUUGUUACAGUUUUGCUUCUUUUGCAAAGACUCCAAAUGGUGUUUUCCUAGGAAUGGCAAGAUCUCCUGUGGUGUCUGACAAAGCUUACCUCAGGAGUAGGAAUGGCAAAUGCUACAGGUAUGUCUUGUUUAGUUUUGAUUUUAUCCUCAUCUUCUGGAAUAUUUUCCUUUUUACAUUGGUCACAGCAACUUGCCAUGUUUUGAUCCACAUUUUGAUCUAAUGUUUCUGUUUCCUUCUGUUUAUCUUCCUGGACAUUAUCCAUUUCAUGAUUCACUUGUGAGUUAUUAGAAGGUGAUUUUUCAUUUUUAGUGGAUUUUCCCUUUAAAAAAGUACACACAAAAAGAAAGGCAGAUAUUGUAAGGCUUAACGUUCUCAAUUACAGCCUUACAAUGAUAUUUAUACAUUUUUUAAAAUUGGAAAGCAAGCUUUCUCCUUUCUCCUGAUCCCAAGUUUGUGCAAUAAAAAUUUCUGAUCACUAAGAAAACCAGGUCCAUGUUAUCCCUUCUUUCUCCUUCACAGCUGGUGGAUGUUUGACAUCACAUGUUGUCACAACAUGGUGACAACAUACGAUGACUGUUUCAGAAGCACAAUUUACAGCAGGGUUAUAAUUUACAGAGGUCCUAAAACUUUCAGCAAUCAAGGAGUAGAAAGCAAUCCAGCCUCAGUUUCUCAAUAUGCAUCAAAUUUGUCUGAACCUCUUAUUCUCUUAAUGUGCUACUUUAUUGUGCUUACAACAA